UACCAUUCACUUGUAAGCUACUCAAGUGAAAUACAAGCUGCUGUUCCUCCAGUUUGCAUGUGGCCUCACUCCAGCA